AAUCAACGCUGGCGGCGUGCCUAACACAUGCAAGUCGAACGCGAAAGCCCCGCAAGGGGCAAGUAGAGUGGCAAACGGGUGAGUAACACGUGGGUGACCUGCCCUCAGCUCUGGGAUAAGCCUGGGAAACCGGGUCUAAUACUGGAUAUGACUCCAUGACGCAUGUUGUGGGGUGGAAAGCCUUGUGCGGCUGAGGAUGGGCCCGCGGCCUAUCAGCUUGUUGGUGGGUGAUGGCCUACCCAAGGCGA
rnacentral:rRNA from 1 species